AACGUAGGUGGCAAGCGUUGUCCGGAAUUACUGGGUGUAAAGGGCGUGUAGGCGGGACUGCAAGUCAGAUGUGAAAUUCCCAGGCUCAACCUGGGGGCUGCAUCUGAAACUGUGGUUCUUGAGUGCUGGAGAGGAAAGCGGAAUUCCUAGUGUAGCGGUGAAAUGCGUAGAUAUUAGGAAGAACACCAGUGGCGAAGGCGGAUUUCUGGACAGUAACUGACGCUGAGGCGCGAAAGCGUGGGGAGCAAACAGG
rnacentral:rRNA from 1 species